GAUGAACGCUGGCGGCGUGCUUAACACAUGCCAGUCGAACGGAAAGGCUCCUGCUUGCAGGGGUACUCGAGUGGCGAACGGGUGAGUAACACGUGGGUGAUCUGCCCAGCACUUCGGGAUAAGCCUGGGAGACUGGGUCUAAUACCGGAUAGGACGAUGGUUUGGAUGCCAUUGUGGAAAGUUUUUUCGGUGUGGGAUGAGCUCGCGGCCUAUCAGCUUGUUGGUGGGGUAAUGGCCUACCAAGGCGUCGACGGGUAGCCGGCCUGAGAGGGUGUACGGCCACAUUGGGACUGAGAUACGGCCCAGACUCCUACGGGAGGCAGCAGUGGGGAAUAUUGCACAAUGGGCGCAAGCCUGAUGCAGCGACGCCGCGUGGGGGAUGACGGCCUUCGGGUUGUAAACUCCUUUCGCUAGGGACGAAGCGCAAGUGACGGUACCUGGAGAAGAAGCACCGGCUAACUACGUG
rnacentral:rRNA from 1 species